UAAGCAGGCAUAAGCAGAUAGAUAGGUAGAUAAAUAGAUAGAAAAGUAAACUGCAACUAUUCUACCAUGCCUUCAAUAAUGAGCAAUGCAUGCAAUAUUCAUUUGCAAUGAACCUACUAUCAUGCUAGUAUCAUGUCAGGAGUAUAUAAAAGUACAUAGCAAUGCAAUUUACAACAUACACUAUGUCUACUCGAGGUAAUAAUGCAAUUCUACUAUGCCAUUCAUGUUUAUUACCCAAUCUACUUGACUAGCCCGUAGGUUAAACCCUCGACUGACUCUCAAUCUCAUAGGUGAGGAGAAGCUGCACUCGCACACCGAGACCGUCUGCGGGACAACUACGUCUGCCCCUAGUGAAGUACUCCGGAGACUCGUGCUUCGGUGGAGCGACCACCGACAAGCGAAAACAGACUAGUGAGUAUGAUCCAAUCCUCUCAAGAGGAUACCCUGUCUACUAGGGUCAAUGUGCCUCUGCUGCACAGUAUACAAUGCAUCCUAGAUGCCGGGAUUUCUACUAUCCCUAGAACCAUGUCAUGUUUACUACACUAGACUCGAUGCCACUCGUUUAGUCAUUGUAGUACUGUUCUUUAACUAGUUGACAUGCCACUCGUCCAAUUAGUGUUUCUACUACACUAGUUCAAUGCCACUCUACUAGGCUAUCAUAUGUCCAAGUUCGGCUCUUUAUGCCACUAUAGGAUUCUAUGUCACAAGA
rnacentral:lncRNA from 1 species